CGCGGUACGCCGAGCCAUCUCGUAAACUCGGCGCCGCGUCCGUUAGUUCGUGCGGCUCCCGGGGGCGGCGCGACGGUCGCGCGCGAACUCGCGUCCCAGUUUGUUCCAGCGUCAUCCUAUCGUCAGUCUUGCGCUGUGCAGCGCUGGUGAAGGUUGUAUGCGGUUGUGGUCCCGUUUGCCGUCACCCCUCGUCGUCGUCGUUGUGGUGACCGCGAGUGAGAAAGUGGUCCGUCGACGUGUCGCGACGUGCAUAAACUUCGCUCGCCCGUGAUCGAACUGUGCGCGGGUGCGCGCAGACGGCUGCCACGUUUCAAAGUGGCGUUUACGCGCGCGCGACCGGAACCGGAGUCUAACCUCAAAGCAAGCGUGGCCGCUGCCGCCCGCGCCGUUUGAGGAGUCUGCCGAGACGCGUUCUCGCCGGGGCCGCCGAUGAUCCACGGAUGAUCCAACAUGGCGUCGACCGAUCUGUCGUUCGGCUCCAUACCGGCGUUCUACAGAGAGGUCCACGAGAAGAUCUGCUCGCCCACCAGCGGCAACGUGGAGCGCGAGGUGUUCAAGUCCCUGCUCGUCAAGUCGCAGCUGAGCAGCUCCGUCCUCAGUCAGAUAUGGGAGCUGGUGGAUAGCAAGAUAGGCUAUCUCACGAGGAGCGGACUGUACAAGGGACUCGCGCUCGUCGCCUUCGCCCAGCAAGGGAAGCAACCGAGCGACAAGCUGCUGGAGAACUCCGAGUCUCAAGAAUUACCCGUACCCGUCCUGGGCGAUUUGUCGGAAGUGACGCUACUCGCGCAGAGGCUGCACAGAGGCAGCAAUCCCGCCAAGCUGAAUCUCACGUACUCGGACAUUUGUAAUCUUGACACCAUCGAGGUCAACCUCGUUCCCGAGAAGAAGGGCAUCUUCCUCAAGCACGUGGAGUAUCAAGUCAUCAGCAAGAGAUUCAAUUCUAAAGUGUACAGGCGUUACAACGACUUCGUGUCGUUGCACGAACUCCUCUUGGCCCGGUUUCCUUAUAGACUGAUACCCAAGUUACCGCCGAAGAAAAUCGUGGGAGCGGACUCGCAAUUUCUCGAGGAGAGGAGACGCUCUCUCCUGCGGUUCCUCACGCUGAUCGCCCGCCAUCCGGUGGUGAGCAAGGACCCGAUCGUCCAAUUUUUCUUCACGUACACCGGCGAGGAGACGCAGCACAAGAUCCGCGAGGUGUUCCGUCGAGUGCCGGACGAGUUCGCCACGUCGGAGCUGUCGUCCCGGGCGAAGGAGCUGGUGCCGCCUGAGACGCUGACCGAGUUCGCCAACAGCCGCGAUCAGAUCCGAGUGAUACUGCUCGGGAUCUCGCGGCUGAAGAACAUCGCCGACUGCCUGGCGAUCAGGUCGCAUAGCUACGCGGUCGACAUGGCCGAACUCGGCACGCAACUGAGCAACUUGGCCGCGGAGCCGCACGGAGCCAGCUCCUGGGUAACCGGUGGCUCGACUAUCUGGCAGGACAUGAAGAAAGGUUUCCACAUCAUUUCCAAGGAGUUCAACCUGUUGUCGACCAGGGCGUUGCAGCAAGCGGUCCGGGAGGAGACCAUGGUGUGCGAGAGGCUGAAUCUCUUGCUGGACAUUUUAGUCGCGCACAGAAUGCUGUGCGAGAGACACGAGCGAGGUGUGAGCGCCGAUCACCAGCGCGCCUUGUCGACGAUGCUGUCCCUGAAGAAACGGCAGAUGCAAGGCGUCAUUCGCGGGACCGACGCCGACACGGUGGAGUACCUGGAGAACAAGAUGGUCGCGCAGGAGUCGGUGAUCGCCAACGUCGAGCUGAGGAACUGCUUCUCGCUGCACUGCCUGCACAUGGAGACCCAGCUGGUGCACGCGCACCUGGAGAUACUCGCCACCGUGCUGCAGAGCCUCGUGAGCGUGCAGAUACGCGGCCACUCCGAGGUGAGAGUCGUCUCGGCAUUUUCGGCAACGACGCAACUCCCCUCUUCUUUACUGAUUCAUUAAUGAACGUGUUCAUUUUGCAAACGAACGCGGAGACCCCGCUGAGUCGUCGCACGGUAAUGCUGCUGGCGUCAACGUUGGCUGAAGUGUGGAAACUGAUCGAACCGACGAUUACCAAGUGUUUACCCGAGAAGUUGGCAAGCGGCUCCAACGGGGUCUCAUAGCACAGGGAAGUUUCGUGUGUUUGUCCCGGCGGAUCGUGCGUUAUCAAAUUAAUAACCGAGACUCGUAUAGACUUGUAGCAAA